rnacentral:misc_RNA from 1 species
UCCUGGUUAACCCAGGCAGUCUCAUUAGAGUUCCCACCAUAACGUGUUGGCAACUAAUGAUAAGGGUUGCGCUCGUUGCUGGACUUAACCAAACACCUCACGGCACGAGCUGACGACAGCCAUGCAGCACCUGUGCACCAGUCCCGAAGGACUAGUAUAUUUCUAUACUAUUCUAGUGCAUGUCAAGUCUGGGUAAGGUUCUUCGCGUUGCAUCGAAUUAAACCACAUACUCCACUGCUUGUGCGGGUCCCCGUCAAUUCUUUUGAGUUUCACCCUUGCGAGCGUACUCCCCAGGCGGUAUACUUAUCGCGUUCGCUACGGCACAACCAGGGUUGAGUCCGGUUACACCAAGUAUACAUCGUUUACGGCAAGGACUAC